AGUUUCUUCAAAGCCUUGCACCCACUGGACUUCUGUGGGGCCAUCCUUUCCUCCAGCUGAAGAGCAGACCCAUACCUUUACAUUUCGGUAGUUGUACUUGUGUGUCCGAGGACUUUUCAAGCAGGCCAAGAGGAGUGAGUGACCCUCCCAGUACCAACUUCUUGGCUGAUUUCAGAGACAAAAAGAAGUCAUGGAGCUCCUUGGGCAUCCCAGAGAUGAGCAUGGGCCCUGGUUUCACUAUUGAAUGGUGGAGAUGUCCAUUUCUCCAAUGCUUUCUCUAGAGUCCUGUGCACUUCCAAGGAAGCUUCUCUCACAUCGUUGAUGCCCAUCAAGACUACCACUAUAUUGUUUUGUGAGCACUCAACACUAAAAAGCAACGGGAGGCUCACAGCAACUACUGCAGAAGCAGAUGAAGAUUUGAAGAAUUGGAGGCAUCUAGCCCAUACACUGUCUCAAACCAGAUGGCCGGGACCCAGAACUCCUUUUAUUUACUUAUGUUUUUCUGUUUAAAGAUCCAUAAUAAAUUACUUCCUAAGAGGUCAACGAUGAGUACAGAAAAGUGACAAACGAAGAAAACACUGUUUGGUGGCUGCUAACUGCAUGUGGCUAUUUAACUUUUAAUUAAAAUAUUUUUUAAAAUGUUAAUAAACUUAUAUCUUACCCUCUUGGUAAUACUAACCAUACUGCAUGUGGGAAAUCCCCCAAACACAGCUCAACUUCUCAAGGCUUCAUAAGAACUAAAACUAGCUUCUAUGAAGUUGGAAAAAGAUCUAAACCUUGCCUGAUUGCAAACACAAAAUGAGUAAUUCAUGAAAAUGAGUGGCAGUAAAUUCAGAAGGCAGAAACCAUACAAACUUAUCAGCAUAAGAAGAGGAAGAAGAGAAGGAAGAAGAGGAGGAUAUCAGGAAAUUCCUACAGAUAAUGAAGGGAUGUGGAGAGCCGUAAGUAACUGCCAUUACAAGAUGGCGCUGGCUCCCGCUGUGCCUAGUAAACAAGCAUUGUGCGCAGAUUCGAGAGUGAAUUCACGCCAAGUCACUGCCCAUCUUGGGGCGUAGUAAUGAGGUGAUGGGCGAGCAACAAAUCAGGUGCUGACACGCCAUGCUGAGGGCUAUAUAAGCAGCACCAUUUUCUGGGUUCUGGCUCUUCCCUCCUGAAGAAGCAAUAAAGCUUUUGCUGCAG
ensembl:lincRNA Gm15473 predicted gene 15473